CUACGGGAUGCUCCAGUGAGGAAUAUUGCACAAUGGGGGGAACCCUGAUGCAGCAACGCCGCGUGGAGGAUGACGCAUUUCGGUGUGUAAACUCCUUUUAUAUGUCAAGAAAAUGACGGUAGCAUAUGAAUAAGCACCGGCUAACUCCGUGCCAGCAGCCGCGGUAAUACGGAGGGUGCAAGCGUUACUCGGAAUCACUGGGCGUAAAGGACGCGUAGGCGGGUUGGAAAGUCAGGUGUGAAAUCCUACAGCUUAACUGUAGAACUGCACUUGAAACUUCUAAUCUAGAGUAUGGGAGGGGGGGAUGGAAUUAGUUGUGUAGGGGUAAAAUCCGUAGAUAUCACUAGGAAUACCUAAAGCGAAGGCGAUCUCCUGGAACAUUACUGACGCUAAGGCGUGAAAGCGUGGGGAGCAAACAGGAUUAGAUACCCGCGUAGUC
rnacentral:rRNA from 1 species